UACGUAGGGGGCAAGCGUUGUCCGGAAUCAUUGGGCGUAAAGCGUGCGCAGGCGGUUGUGUAAGUCAGAUGUGAAAUCCCCGGGCUCAACCUGGGAACUGCAUUUGUGACUGCACGGCUGGAGUGCGGCAGAGGGGGAUGGAAUUCCGCGUGUAGCAGUGAAAUGCGUAGAUAUGCGGAGGAACACCGAUGGCGAAGGCAAUCCCCUGGGCCGGCACUGACGCUCAUGCACGAAAGCGUGGGGAGCAAACAGG
rnacentral:rRNA from 1 species